rnacentral:rRNA from 1 species
UACAGGGGGGGCAAGCGUUGUUCGGAAUUACUGGGCGUAAAGGGCUCGUAGGCGGCCAACUAAGUCACACGUGAAAUCCCCAGGCUUAACCUGGGAACUGCGUGUGAUACUGGAUGGCUUGAAUCCGGGAGAGGGAUGCGGAAUUCCAGGUGUAGCGGUGAAAUGCGUAGAUAUCUGGAGGAACACCGGUGGCGAAGGCGGCAUCCUGGACCAUGACUGACGCUGAGGAGCGAAAGCCAGGGGAGCAAACGGG